AACAAACGCUGGCGGCGUGCCUAACACAUGCAAGUCGAACGAGAAACAUGUCCUUCGGGGCAUGGAGUAAAGUGGCGCACGGGUGAGUAACACGUGGGUAACCUGCCCCCGGGACCGGGAUAACUGGCCGAAAGGCCCGCUAAUACCGGAUAAGACCACGAGAGCUUCGGCUCUAGCGGUCAAAGUCGGCCUCUCGAAGAAGCCGGCACCUGGAGAGGGGCCCGCGCACCAUUAGCUAGUUGGUAGGGUAACGGCCUACCAAGGCAACGAUGGUUAGCUGGUCGGAGAGGAUGACCAGCCACACUGGAACUGAGAUACGGUCCAGACUCCUACGGGAGGCAGCAGUGAGGAAUAUUGCGCAAUGGAGGCAACUCUGACGCAGCAACGCCGCGUGGGUGAUGAAGGCUUUCGGGUUGUAAAGCCCUGUCGGGUGAGAAGAAAUCCCAUAAGUGAAUAGCUUGUGGAGAUGACGGUAUCACCGGAGGAAGCACCGGCUAACUCCGUGCCAGCAGCCGCCGUAAAAC
rnacentral:rRNA from 1 species